rnacentral:rRNA from 1 species
GAUGAACGCUAGCGAUAGGCUUAACACAUGCAAGUCGAGGGGCAGCAUGGUCUUAGCUUGCUAAGACUGAUGGCGACCGGCGCACGGGUGCGUAACGCGUAUGCAACUUGCCUCACAGAGGGGGAUAACCCGUCGAAAGACGGACUAAUACCGCGUACACUUGGGAUAGGGCAUCCUGACCCAAGGAAAUGAAAUUCGCUGUGAGAUAGGCAUGCGUCCCAUUAGCUAGUUGGUGAGGUAACGGCUCACCAAGGCGACAAUGGGUAGGGGAACUGAGAGGUUGAACCCCCACACUGGUACUGAGACACGGACCAGACUCCUACGGGAGGCAGCAGUGAGGAAUAUUGGUCAAUGGGCGAGAGCCUGAACCAGCCAAGUCGCGUGAAGGAUGACUGUCUUAUGGAUUGUAAACUUCUUUUAUACGGGAAUAACAAGAGCCACGUGUGGCUCCCUGCAUGUACCGUAUGAAUAAGCAUCGGCUAACUCCGUG